CCGUGUGGCUUUAUGAAUAAGGCGUCUGACUUCGAAUAAGAAGAUUGCGAGUUCGAGUCUCGUCGUGG
rnacentral:tRNA from 1 species